UUUCCUCUGUGACUAAUUGUCCAUGGGUGCACACUUGAGCGCGUUAGAAGACUUUAUUUCAUACUUGUCUCCUUCCUGUCCGAUGAAGCGUCUCUCUCCUCCGACGUGGCGCCUUCGCCAAACUGAACCUCUGUUCUCUGGUAGUUGAAAUCGGCGUGUUCGCUCCGUGGUGCUGAUCAUGUGACGCACAUUAUGUCAUAUGAUUUUCUACACGUUAUUAAGCCGUUAUUUUUGAUAUGAAUGUAGAUUAUUACUGUGUGCUGAAUGAAGAAGAGACAGUGUAGGUUUAUUGUGAAAUUGUUUGUCUCUGUAGUGUGUUUUUCUCUGUUGCUCAGUGGGAGGAGUCAGGUGGUUUAAAGUGGAGCCGUUUCUGCCUGUCAAUCAGUCUGCCGCCGGUUACACAGCCUGAUUGGCUCUUUGGUUGCUAUGACACUUGUAAACUUUAUAGCAGAGGCGUGGAGCUCCAGCACAGCACAGGACUUUAAAGACUCACAGCUACAAGUGCGGCCCAGACUCACGGCUCCAGAGCUGAAAGUCAGGCCCACAGAAGGAGAGCGGAGAGGGAGCACACACCAAACACUCACUACAUGUUUCAUUCUUCUGUUUUACACUUGGAUUUGAAAUGUUUGAGUUCAAACCUCGGACACACACUCCCCUCGUUCAGUCCGUCCCAAAGCAAAGCUCACAGGAGUUUGUUCACUUUGUCUUUUUGGAAACAGACGAGCGCAAAAUGUGAAAUAUAAAACUUCAUCAAGACUUUUUAUGUUUGCAGAAAAAUGGAGAACUCCAGAGCAGGACCAGGGUCUGGACGUAGACCCAGAGCUGAACCAGGACUAAACCAGGACUAUAUCAGGACUAAAGCAGGACUAAACCAGGACUAUAUCAGGUCUGAAGCAGGUCCUGGUCCCAGCGGAGUCUCUCUGAGCAGUAACUUCUCCAAAGACUUGGGCAUCGACUUUAAAAAAGAGCAGAGUGGAGCGUCUGCACAGCUCAGAGACGACAGCGCCCCCUAUGGACCCACCACAGAGUCUCUGACAAGUGAAAACUCCAAAGACUCACAUCAGAGAGACGAGGAUGCAAGUUUUUCUAUUGGUCAGGAUCCUCAGGCAGAAUUGGACUCCAUCUUCCAGGUCUGUGAACACAAACACACACACACACACACACACAC